UAGGGAAUCUUCGGCAAUGGGGGGAACCCUGACCGAGCAACGCCGCGUGAGUGAAGAAGGUUUUCGGAUCGUAAAGCUCUGUUGUUAAGGAAGAACGAGUGUGAGAAUGGAAAGUUCAUGCUGUGACGGUACUUAACCAGAAAGGGACGGCUAACUACGUGCCAGCAGCCGCGGUAAUACGUGGGUCCCGAGCGUUGUCCGGAUUUAUUGGGCGUAAAGCGAGCGCAGGCGGUUAGAAAAGCCUGAAGGGAAAGGCAGUGGCUCAACCAUUGUAGGCUUUGGAAACUGCUUAACGUGAGUGCAGAAGGGGGGAGGGGAAGUCCAUGGGUAGCGGUGAAAUGCGUAGAUAUAUGGAGGAACACCGGUGGCGAACGCGGCUCUCUGGUCUGUAACUGACGCUGAGGCUCGAAAGCGUGGGGAGCGAACAGG
rnacentral:rRNA from 1 species